rnacentral:rRNA from 1 species
AUUGAACGCUGGCGGCAGGCCUAACACAUGCAAGUCGAACGGUAGCACAGAGGAGCUUGCUCCUUGGGUGACGAGUGGCGGACGGGUGAGUAAUGUCUGGGAAACUGCCUGAUGGAGGGGGAUAACUACUGGAAACGGUAGCUAAUACCGCAUAACGUCGCAAGACCAAAGAGGGGGACCUUCGGGCCUCUUGCCAUCAGAUGUGCCCAGAUGGGAUUAGCUAGUAGGUGAGGUAAUGGCUCACCUAGGCGACGAUCCCUAGCUGGUCUGAGAGGAUGACCAGCCACACUGGAACUGAGACACGGUCCAGACUCCUACGGGAGGCAGCAGUGGGGAAUAUUGCACAAUGGGCGCAAGCCUGAUGCAGCCAUGCCGCGUGUAUGAAGAAGGCCUUCGGGUUGUAAAGUACUUUCAGCGGGGAGGAAGGUGAUACGGUUAAUAACCGUGUCAAUUGACGUUACCCGCAGAAGAAGCACCGGCUAACUCCGUGCCAGCAGCCGCCGUAA